rnacentral:rRNA from 1 species
AUUGAACGCUGGCGGCAGGCCUAACACAUGCAAGUCGAGCGAGCGGAGGACGGGUGAGUAAUGUGUGGGGUUCUGCCCGAUAGAGGGGGAUAACUACUGGAAACGGUCGCGAAUACCGCAUACUAUCGGAUGAACCCAUCUGGGAUUGGCUAGUAUGGGGGGGAAAGGCUCACCUAGGAGACGAUCUCUAGCUGGUCUGAGAGGAUGAUCGGCCACACUGGGAGUGAGACACGGCCGAGACACCUACGGGAGGCAGCAGUGGAGAAUAUUGCACAAUGGGCGAAAGCCUAAUGCAGCCAUGCCGCGUGUAUGAAGAAGGCCUUAGGGUUGUAAAGUACAUUCAGCGGUGAGGCGUUACCCGCAGAAGAAGCACCGGCUAACUCCGUGCCAGCAGCCGCGGUAAUUC